UCAGGGAAAAGGAAUGCUGGAUACUUAUUGGCUCGAGUGUAAAGAAGGUGGGAUGAAUCGAACGAUAGAAAUGGAUACACCGUCAUAUUUUCUGGAGGAUGAAGAUAUGGAGCCAGUUUUCAUAAAGAGACUGAGGAAUGAGAGUUAUUUUUAAUAGAACACUUUUUCAUGUUAUUUCGAAUAUGUGCAUCUAGAUGUUGAUAAUAAAUGUAAUUUUUAUUUUAUAAUGAGUGUAAAGGAAUGAGUAAGCUUUUCUGUAUGGGGUAAAUAUAUUUCAACAAUCACAA